GAUAUAAAGAUGUCAGAUAUUUGAUAUUAACCUUUAUCUAUUUUCUUUCAAUCUUUAUUUAAAUUUUUUGGGUGAGGGGAAUCUUAGUUCCUAUUUCCUGAUCUUUAAGGCAAAACUUUUAUAGAUUUAGAAUUCUGAUCUAACAUACACUUUUUCCAUGGAGGAGACUUGUAUUGUCUUGCAAAAUCCAUUUCCGUUGCAACAAGAGCCUGGGAAAGCGUUAUCCAAAGACGUUUAUCCCACUAAGGUCCAGAGGGAGUGGUUGUGAAAUAAUCGUUUUAUGUGUGGCACUGACAAGCAACAGCAACUUUAAAGAGAAGGAAAUGCUGUCCUUUCAAACUUCCUUAUUUACAAAAAAAAAUAACAAAACAAAAAACUUGAAUUGCAGUCAUUAAGAAAAACAUCUGGUAUAUUGCUUUGAUUUGCAACACUAACUGUUGGACAGAAGCAAAACAUUUUCCCCCAAAGAAGCUAAUAAUUGAGCAUUCAUAUCCAUGUAUAACCUGUCAUUUAUUCCCCUCAUCAGCAACUGCUCGAGUCUGAUAAAAUUAAACACUCAAGUCAGGCAGAUUUUGUUAAAAGCAAUAAUUACAUUAUUACUAGAAUAUACAAUUAAGUAAUGAAAAAACCAGAAUGACACUGUGCAGCAGUAUUUUAUCCACUUUUCAAAAAUAUCACUGGACUGAAAACAUGCAGAAUAAUAGAAAGUAAUAACAACACUUCCACUGAACUAUCACAGUGCCCAAUUUAAAACUUCAGCCACAGGCAAAAUACAUAAAUGAUUAGCAUUGUGGUGUUUAUUUUAAUUACACUCUGCAAUUAGAAUCCAACAGCCUGUCAAAUCAUUUAAGAUCCAGAGAAAACCAAUAAUUUAAAAGCACUGAGCGCCACUUAGAAAACUUGCCCCUUGUUUGAAACAGACUUGUUAUGUCAGACAACUUCCCGACAAUAUAACAAUUGUACAACCAACCACAAACUGUUUCCCAUUCUAGUAAUAUCUAAAUACAAUACAGUAUAUGCAUAUAUGCUUUUGCGUUGAUAAGUUGUGAAAGUUCAUGCAAUCCAGUUUAGACAUGCAUCUAAGACCAUCAGGACUGGGUUCUUACAGUAGCAUGGUGCAAUGAAUGCCACAGCAGGGCUGUUCCUUCCUGCACUACUAGAGUAACAUGAUAUGCACCAGAGGAGGCACAGUAUGGAAUGGUCUUGCGAUUCUCAAAUUUUACAGCAACGCAGAGAAGCCAGCACAACUAUGGCAACAAGGUAGUGAACCAGGGUUGUAUCCACUGCAAGCCUUACUCGGAGUACAUCAAUUGAAAUUAAUGAAAGUAAGAUAGUCAUUUCCAUUAACUUCAUUAGUUCUACUCUGAGCAGGACUAGCAUGGUAUACACCUCUCAGUCUCUGUUAUAGCCAAUAGGUGAGUAAUAAUGGGUAAUUCAGAUAUCCUACUCCUCAAAUUGCCUUUUCCCCUUACAGUGUUGCAGCUAUGAAGAACUGAAAUGGGUACCAACCAAAUAAUAAUAAUUUUGGCUGGAAAUCGUGAGCAACUUCUAUCAAUUCAUUCAGUAAAAACAGACCAAAGCUCUGACCAUUUUUUUCCUUUAUUUAAGUUAUCAGUUCUACUUUCCCUUCCUCCUCCACCCUGUAAUUGCAAAGCAAGGGAAAAGACUUCCUAACUUGUUUGUGCUUUACACCCUUUACCCCAAUGACUAUCUUCCUUUGGAGAGGGAGGAAGAACAAAAAAACCCCCAAUGCAAUGGAAAAUCUGGACGCAGAAUAGGAUUUGCAUAUUUGCAUUGUUAUAACUUGUUAACAUUAUAUAUCUCAAAGGUAGAAUUUGGGGGUUUUAGCAUAAAAGUUAGUGCAUUAAGGACUAUCACCAUAUCUGGUUAUUUGGUGCACUUGUCACAUGACAAUUAUACUGAAACUUCCCCCAAUUAACACAUCUUAGCAGCACCAUUACCCAUGGGCAUAUCAUAGAGUGCUCACAUAUGUUCAGAUGCCCACCCACAUUGACAACAGAACCUUUCACGAUUCAUCACAAUUAGCAGAAUUAUUUCCAGAUUAAUAAUAAUAAUAAUAAUAAUAAUAAUAAUUUAUUUGAACCCAACCCAUCUGGCUGGGUUUUUCCAGCCACUCUGGGAGGCUCACAAUAAAAUAUUAAAAACAUGAUAAGGCAUCAGACAUUUAAAACUUCCCUAAACAGGGCUGCCUUCAGGUAUUUUCAGAGUGUGGUCACAUUGGCUUGUAGGUACAACAGCCAAUCUGCAAAAUAUCUAUUUAUGCCAGGAGCAGAAGAUGGCUAUUUACCCAAACCAAAAUGCCAAGAGUUUACCAAAAGAUGGCAAAAUGUGAAGGGAGAAAAUCACCCAGGAGAACCCUUAACAAUUGUAUUUUAUGAUGUGGGAAAUUAAAAACUCAGUAAAAUAUGAAAACAGCAUGUAAGCAAAGUUAAAUUACCUUACAAAAAAUAUGCAUAUAGGAAAACAAUUGUUUAAGGAGAUAAACAUACAUUCCAACUCAGUGAAGAAGCAUAUAACAAUCCUUAAAAACUAACAGGAAAAGCAGUCCCUCCUCAUUUACUGGAAUACUAUACAUAGUAAUCCUCCUAUUCCACACUAGUUUCAAGCUAGUCAGAAAACAUUGUUUAAUUAGGGUAGUGUAAUGUGUUAAAGAAUGUGGUUCUGCCCACAAGGAAGGCUGUGGGAUCAGCAUUUCAAAUCCUAGUUCACACAAGACAACUAUUGGCUCUGUUGGGAAAGCGAGUGCUUUUCAGCCUCAGUUCCUAUCUGUCAAAGAGAAAUAAGUGACAUACUGUACAAUAUGAAUAAAUGUGUUCAUUUUCCAAAUGCAUUCAUUCACUCUCAAAAUUUAGUGGUACUUCUUGUCCUCUACUAAUUUUUGAAGCUACUCUCAUCUUCAUUCCAGCAACCCUUUUGAGAUUUCUUUAAGGUGGGGGGGGGGAACCUCAGCCCUGAGCGGUUUUGCAAGGCUGAAAUGUGUCCCUGAACUCUGAUAAUGCUUUUCUGUUGCUUGCCUGGACAAAGGAUAUAGAGAAGUGAAUGUGUAGAAACUAGCCUACUAUACAAAGAUAAAAUUCACAUUUGCUGCUUUGCUUAGUUUUUUUUUUUUUUUGCCUCUGGUCCAGACCACUACUGGCAUGUGGCCCCCAGAAGAUUACGCAGAACAGAAUGCAGCCCUCAAGCUGAAAAGAGCUCACCAUCCCUGCCUUAAAGCUUAAGCAGAUCCUUUGUUUUUGCAAUGUUUGACGUACAUUCUUUCUUCUAUCAUUUCCAACAACAGCAUUUCAUAAAAAUGUAUUUUUUUAAAAAAAUGAACAUAUGUGACAGACAAGUAAACUCCAGUUUCACCAAGUGAGAACACAAUACAUCAAUAUGCAGACAAAAAGAAAAUGGUAACACAUGCAAGUACAGUCAUACCUCUAGUUGAGUUAGGUUCAGGUUGCGGAUUUUUGGGUUGCAAACAUGGCAAACCCGGAAGUGUAUACUUCCAGGUUUUGCCGCGCAUGCACAGAAGCCUUCUGUGUGCAGGAGCGCUCUAUUGCGUUACACGCAAGCGCAGAAGCGGCGCUCUACUUAAGACUUUUCAGGGUGCGAACGGCGCCCCGGAACGGAUUGCAUCCAUAAGUAGAGGUACCACUGUAAAGAAAACAUGGCAAGGAGUAGACAACACAGGUAAAAAUGGUGCGAGCCAUACCAACAAACCUACACAAAAUAUACCGCAUUUUUCGCUCUGUAAGACACACUUUUUCCCUCCUAAAAAGUAAGGGGGAAUGCGUGUGCGUCUUAUGGAGUGAAUGCAGGCGUGAGGCUCUGCUCACCGCUCCCUUUAAAGAGCCGUGUGGAGCA
rnacentral:lncRNA from 1 species